GGGGAAUAUUGGACAAUGGGGGCAACCCUGAUCCAGCAAUGCCGCGUGUGUGAAGAAGGUCUUCGGAUUGUAAAGCACUUUCGACGGGGACGAUGAUGACGGUACCCGUAGAAGAAGCCCCGGCUAACUUCGUGCCAGCAGCCGCGGUAAUACGAAGGGGGCUAGCGUUGCUCGGAAUGACUGGGCGUAAAGGGCGUGUAGGCGGUUUACACAGUCAGAUGUGAAAUCCCCGGGCUUAACCUGGGAGCUGCAUUUGAUACGUGUAGACUAGAGUGUGAGAGAGGGUUGUGGAAUUCCCAGUGUAGAGGUGAAAUUCGUAGAUAUUGGGAAGAACACCGGUGGCGAAGGCGGCAACCUGGCUCAUGACUGACGCUGAGGCGCGAAAGCGUGGGGAGCAAACAGGUUAGAUACCCUGGUAGUCCACGCUGUAAACGAUGUGUGCUAGAUGUUGGGUAACUUUGUUAUUCAGUGUCGCAGUUAACGCGUUAAGCACA
rnacentral:rRNA from 1 species